rnacentral:rRNA from 1 species
GACGAACGCUGGCGGCGUGCUUAACACAUGCAAGUCGAACGGAAAGGCCCUGCUUUUGUGGGGUGCUCGAGUGGCGAACGGGUGAGUAACACGUGAGUAACCUGCCCUUGACUUUGGGAUAACUUCGGGAAACUGGGGCUAAUACCGGAUAGGAGCUCCUGCUGCAUGGUGGGCGUUGGAAAGUUUCGGCGGUUGGGGAUGGACUCGCGGCUUAUCAGCUUGUUGGUGGGGUAGUGGCUUACCAAGGCUUUGACGGGUAGCCGGCCUGAGAGGGUGACCGGCCACAUUGGGACUGAGAUACGGCCCAGACUCCUACGGGAGGCAGCAGUGGGGAAUAUUGCACAAUGGGCGGAAGCCUGAUGCAGCAACGCCGCGUGCGGGAUGACGGCCUUCGGGUUGUAAACCGCUUUCGCCUGUGACGAAGCGUGAGUGACGGUAAUGGGUAAAGAAGCACCGGCUAACUACGUG